rnacentral:rRNA from 1 species
GUGGGGAUGCGCUACCAUGCAAGUCCUACGGCAGCAGGUCCUUCGGGAUGCUGGCGAGUGGCGGACGGGUGAGUAAUGCGUAAGAACCUAUCCUUUUGUGGGGGACAACCCAGGGAAACUUGGGCUAAUACCGCAUAAGCCCUGAGGGGGAAAGCGGGGGAUCUUCGGACCUCGUGCUGAAGGAAGGGCCUACGUCCGAUUAGAGUAGUUGGUGGGGUAAAGGCCUACCAAGGUGACGAUCGGUAGCUGAGCUGAGAGGACGACCAGCCACACUGGGACUGAGACACGGCCCAGACUCCUACAGGAGGCAGCAGUGGGGAAUUUUUCGCAAUGGGGGCAACCCUGACGAAGCAAUGCCGCGUGGAUGAAGAAGGCCUUCGGGUUGUAAAGUCCUUUCAGGGGGGACGAAGAGGCGGAUCCGAAUGCGGUCUGCUAUUGACGUGAACCCAUGAAGAGACACCAGCUAACUCCGUGCCAGCAGCCGCGGUAAU